GUAAUGUAAUCCUUAGAUUUAUUGUAAAGCUUCUUCAUAUGAUAUCAUGCAAUGACUCCUCUGUUUGGUGAGACAUGAUAGCUUGAUGCUCUGAUUUAAUGUACUUAUUCCUUUCUUUCUUUCCUUUUUAUUUAUUAUUUUUUUUGGCUUGAAGAGUGAAACACUGUAGCUUGCUGAUGCAGGAUAUUAUUUUCACCAUGUAAUUGUAUUAUAUAAAGUUCCUUUAUGUUCUGUGGAAUAAUUGUAUGUAGUUUCUAUCUUUUGGUUUCUUCAUGAGAUGAGAAAUUGUAAUGUUUGCAGGUGCUAGAUGAGUAUCAGAAG
rnacentral:misc_RNA from 1 species